GAUGAACGCUGGCGGCGUGCCUAAUACAUGCAAGUCGAGCGAACGGACGAGAAGCUUGCUUCUCUGAUGUUAGUGGCGGACGGGCGAGUAACACGUGGAUAACCUACCUAUAAGACUGGGAUAACUUCGGGAAACCGGAGCUAAUACCGGAUAAUAUUUUGAACCGCAUGGUUCAAAAGUGAAAGACGGUCUUGCUGUCACUUAUAGAUGGAUCCGCGCUGCAUUAGCUAGUUGGUAAGGUAACGGCUUACCAAGGCAACGAUGCAUAGCCGACCUGAGAGGGUGAUCGGCCACACUGGAACUGAGACACGGUCCAGACUCCUACGGGAGGCAGCAGUAGGGAAUCUUCCGCAAUGGGCGAAAGCCUGACGGAGCAACGCCGCGUGAGUGAUGAAGGUCUUCGGAUCGUAAAACUCUGUUAUUAGGGAAGAACAUAUGUGUAAGUAACUGUGCACAUCUUGACGGUACCUAAUCAGAAAGCCACGGCUAACUACGUG
rnacentral:rRNA from 1 species